CCUACGGGUGGCAGCAGUGGGGAAUAUUGGACAAUGGGCGAAAGCCUGAUCCAGCCAUGCCGCGUGUGUGAAGAAGGCCUUCGGGUUGUAAAGCACUUUCAGUGGGGAAGAAAGCCUUGGGGCUAAUACCCUCGAGGAAGGACAUCACCCACAGAAGAAGCACCGGCUAACUCCGUGCCAGCAGCCGCGGUAAUACGGAGGGUGCGAGCGUUAAUCGGAAUUACUGGGCGUAAAGCGCGCGUAGGCGGUCUGAUAAGCCGGUUGUGAAAGCCCCGGGCUCAACCUGGGAACGGCAUCCGGAACUGUCAGGCUAGAGUGCAGGAGAGGAAGGUAGAAUUCCCGGUGUAGCGGUGAAAGGCGUAGAGAUCGGGAGGAAUACCAGUGGCGAAGGCGGCCUUCUGGACUGACACUGACGCUGAGGUGCGAAAGCGUGGGUAGCAAACAGGAUUAGAUACCCGAGUGUC
rnacentral:rRNA from 1 species